rnacentral:tRNA from 1 species
GGGGAUUUAGCUCAGUGGCUAAGCAACUGCCUUGCAAGCAGAUAGUAGUGAGUUCAAUCCCCA